rnacentral:rRNA from 1 species
AGCAGCCGCGGUAAUUCCAGCUCCAAUAGCGUAUAUUAAAGUUGUUGCAGUUAAAAAGCUCGUAGUUGAAUUUCGGGAUCAAGGAAUCGGUCAUGCCUCGGUAUGUACUGGUUUUAUUGGUUCUCACCUUCUAAAGAACCAUAAUGUCAUUUAUUUGAUGUUAUGGGGAAUUAGGACUGUUACCUUGAAAAAAUUAGAGUAGUUUAAAGCAAGCUUACGCUUGAAUACAUUAGCAUGGAAUAAUGAAAUAGGACAUCCGAUUCUAUUUUGUUGGUUUCUAGGAUCGAUGUAAUGAUUAAUAGGGAUAGUUGGGGGCAUUAGUAUUCAAUUGUCAGAGGUGAAAUUCUUGGAUUUAUUGAAGACUAACUACUGCGAAAGCAUUUGCCAAGGAUGUUUUCAUUAAUCAAGAACGAAAGUUAGGGGAUCGAAGACGAUCAGAUACCGUCGUAGUCUUAACCAUAAACUAUAGCCGACUAGGGAUCGGAUGAUGUUUAUUUUUAGUGACUCAUUCGGCACCUUA